CAAUUCGUCGCGAUGUUCCGAUUCCAUGCAUGCGACGCUCAAAUGGUCUAUUUUUAUAUGAAAUUAACGUCGUCGUCCCGAGUACGACCUCACCCUGUCCCAAGGGAAAGAAGAAAACAGAAGGCUACAAUGGGCGAGUCUUGGGGGAGUUCACGUGAACAGCACGUCUAGUUCCCUUUUGAGACUUGGAAAGGCUGGUGGACAAUAUCGAAGGCAAUCUCACGAGGCACCAUCUUUUGACUCUUGGCGCAUAUGCGCUUUUCCACCGCUCAUCGCGCCUCCGGAAUAGGAGGUUGCCACCUCGACUCUUGUCGCGCAAUGUUUACUUUGACCAAUGUUGAGUCUCGGACCGGACUCGGCUUGGGAAUUUCCCGUGGAUUUGACAAAACUAUAAGUAAAUACAUACAUGCGUACGUACAUAUUUAUAUAUAUAUCUCAAUGUUUUAUCUAAUAUGAAGUUCAAUAGAAUGUUAAAAACUUGAAAAUGAUGCAUGUCCAUUUGCAAGCCUAAGCAAUGUGGCGGUCUUGGUUUUAGAUCUCUUGACCUCACUAAUAAAAGAUUUAUGAUGAAGAUAGCAUAGUGUGGUGCCUCAAGACUCAAUCUAAUAAUCUCUGGGCACGAGUUCUAACUGAUAAAUAUUGUUAGCAAAGAAUUGAUUUCAAGCUAAAUCUAGUGACUUGAUCUUAUGGAAGGCAAUUGUGAUUGUAUGGCCGGCUUUAUAGAAGGAACUUUAUGGAGGUCGGGAAAUGAUAAAUAUGUUAGGUUUUGGACAGAUAGAUGAAUACCAGGUAUGGAGCUGUUUGAUAAUAUUGUUAGUACCCAACCAUCUCCUUUUGAGAUGGAUUGAAAAGUUUGCGAUUAUGUGCUGAACGGAAAUUAGGCUUUUUAGAUAUUUCGGGGAAUUAUACUAGAAAAAAUAAUUUUUUGCUUGAGAGUUGUUAAACCUCCUUUAGCCCGUGACGGAGAUGAUACUCUUUUGUGGGCCUUCUUUGUUAAGUUAGCAUGGAACGUAAUCAACGGAACAAAUAAUCAAUAAUCUAAUAGUAUAUGGUCCACAAUUUAGAAAUGAAAGGGACCUCAUUGUAUUAAAACCUUCCUCUGGUUAAUUGCUCUACGACUGUUGACUAAUGAAUUGAAGAUGUCUCACUAUUUGAGAGGAUAUCCAUAUUGCUUGAAAUGCGAGUUCAUGUGGAAACAACUGUACAUGUCCUAAAGGAUUGUUCAAUUAUUCGUAGGAUAUGGUUUGAGUUUGUCCACAAAAUAUUUGGAAAUUUUUUUCUCAAUGAAUUUGUUGCAAUGGUUGAAUUCAAAUCUUGCUAGGAAAGAAUGACCAAAUUUUCAUCAUGAUUGGAGCAUAAUUUUUGAGCAAGUGUAUGGCUUUUUGAGCAAUGGAGAAAGAAGUCACUUUUUUAAGACAACUUUGUUUUCCCUUUAAAUUUGGUACAAGCAAUUGGGUCAUACAUGAAGGAAAUCAUUAAAGUUUAUUUGUGAAUAACUUGACGUUAAGUGAAUCAUACACUUCUCUGAUUUCGGUCAAAUGGGAUCCUCUACCUUCUAGGUGGAUUAAACUGAAUACUAAUGGAUCCUCUAAAGGUAACCCAAGACUUGCUAGUGGCGUUUAUUUAGAAAUGAAUGGAGUAACUAAAUUUGUGGUUAUGCCACAUUCGUAGAAACAUGUUCACUGACAUAUGCAGAACUUCAGGCUUUGUGGUCGGGACUCAACUUUGCAAAAUAACUAGGAUUUCAUAAGAUCAUGAUUAAGAUUAAUUCUAAGUCAUUACUAAUAUUCUUAAUCUAAUGCUUGACCUAUUUUGCUUAAAGAUAGAAUACUGCAGUGCUCUCAUUUUGAAUUUAAAUGUGACAUAAAUUUCUAGAUUAAAAUUGCUUUGCUGCUUGCUAAUCUUGGAAUUGACAAGUGCUUGGGUGCUAAUUUCUUUUCAUUACCUUCUAUAAUGUUACUUCAUGUUUUAUUAGGUAAUAAAAUAAGGAUGGUAGGUUUGCCAUGUUAAAUUUUUAUAUUUGGCUCUAGCCUUUUUCAUUCAAAAAUAAAAUGAAAUUGAAGAUAUGAUGAAAUUUAUUUUAUUUGUGUUUGGUUUCUGUUUAAUAUAAGAUAAGCUUAGAUAUGAUAGAGAUAUGAUUUGAAUAAAACUAUUUCAUAGAAGAUGGGAUAAAGAUCAAUUGAAUUUUUUUAUGUCCGUGGUAUGAAAAGCUAUUUUUUUUUUUCGAUUAACAAACUCCAUAAGUUAAUAAAAUCAAAAUAAUAAUGAAAUACAAAUAUUAUUUAAAUUUCAAUAUAAAAAUAAAAUCAAAAUAACAAAACAACGACCAAUAGGUUCAUCUAAUUAUCAAAGAAUAUGGGGUAAAGAGAUUUUUAAAUGAACCCGAUCCUCUUAUUCUUCUUCUCCUCCGUAGCUUUGAUUUACAUCGAAACUUCACAACUCUUUCGCAAUUCUUUGGUUCACAUUGAAACCCUAGAAAACGAGGAUAGAGUCAAACUUCCUUUUCCUUCACAGCUCUUUGGUUCACUCUAAAAUUUCACGAAAGUGAUAAGAAAGUUGAAGCAUUAUAUUUUUCGGAAUUGCGAAGAUCAUGCAUUCUCUCUUUGACUAGAUUUGGCAUUUGCUAGCCCAUCCGUUUCAUUGAUGUUGUUUAAUUUGUUUACAUUUCUUGUCAUACGGGCCCAUAAUCAAAACUUGUGGCUCUGGAAUGUUGCAAUGAGAUCCUUUGUUGCUAAAGGUGUAGAUUGUACUAUAAUCAUGGAUUGAUUGCUCAAGGUUGUCUCUAUCAAUGUAUUUGUGGUUUCUUUAAUAGUCAUAGGAGAGACUCUUAGCGUCUCCUUUUAAUUUUUUUAGUUCAAUUAUACCGAUAUUCAGUUCGUAUGAAAUAAUGGACAUAACAGGAUAAGAUCUAGCUUUUUUAUUGUGAUUCACAAAAUAAUGAAAUAGUAUAUGGCAAAAUCUUUGAAUUUCAC
rnacentral:lncRNA from 1 species